UUUAGAGUGGGGCUUCCAAAAGUAUCUAGAAUGGGGACUGAGCAUGGCGGUCCCUGUGCUAUUAGAAAGCCCAAGGGCUGGGGAUUUAGCUCAGUGGUUUCACCGCCUGCUGCGCAAGUGCAAGGAGCUGAGUUCAAUCCCUGGUACCAAAAAACAAAAAAAAAAGAAAAGAAAGCCCAAGGGCCAAGCACUGUCAGCAGUGCCUUGGUUGGUGUCUUGGCUGGCUGGCAAUGCCUGCCCGGUUGGCAUUUCCUGGGAGCGGGGCAAAGCCCCUGGACAAGUUCAAGGACCCACAAAGGGCAGCACUUUGGGGGCCACAGACCCACUGGUCCUCCUGGACGCUCAGGGACACUGGCUGCUGGGCACAGUUUGUCCUCUCUGGGCUAGGCCACUAAGGGGCCGGGCACUGUCAAGGGGGCAAGCGUGACACCCGGCAUCCCCUCCCCCUAGGACAGUGUCAGGACUUAGGAGCCUCGGGCAGGCGGCAGUGUCCCAUCUGGGAUUGUUUAAUGAGUCUACUUCUUACACGCAUAAUUAUAAAAGAAUAAGAAUUGACAAAAAUAUUUUCUUUCCAUAAUAUGUAGAGGUGGUUUCCUUCCUUCCUUUUUUUUUUUCUCCUUUUCUUUUUGCUCUUUGCCUGAACUCUUGGAGGGGAAGGGAAGGAAGUGGGACCAGGACCCCAUGGUGGGCAGUUCCCACUCCCAACACCGGGACCCUGUGUCAGGGCCAGGCAGACGUGUGUGGCUGGACAGCUGGGGAGGGGAGAGCAAGGGCAGGAGGGCUCCUUGCGUCCACAGGCGUCAACCCCAGCAGGCCCUGGCCACUCUGCCGUCUGGGCUUUGGACACGCAGGGCUCACAGUGGAGGGUGGACACCCCACUGCCCAGCCACACACCCUGAUUCUAGAUCUAGGCACCCCUUGCUUUCUGUCUCUUAGUUAUGUAAAAUGCCCCUUGAGGGAAUGCAGAUAUGAAGUGGGUGGCGGCGGGGAGGGAGGACAGGCAUUCCCAGGCUCCUGUGCUGGGGACGGUGGCUGCCAGCACAGGGGACCCAGGCCAUCGGGGUGGAGGGCACCCAGGGCUGUGCCCACCUCACUCCCCAGCCUGGCUCCUCGGAGUCUCUUCUGGCCGAAGAGCUGGGUGGCCCAAGGCAGUGUCACCUGCGGAUCAGCCACCGUCUCUGUCCUGGCAACCAAGAAGCAGCAAGCAAAGCAAACCAGGAGCAGUAAUUAAAAAAAAAAAAAAAAAAGGAUUGAAGGAGUUAGGGCGGGAAAGGCAGCGGUGAGGUGGCUCCUCCUGGGCCUCAAGGCUGUCCUGGGGCGGGUGGCAGGACAGGCGCCCAGGCGGGUGUGUGGGGCCACUGGGGGCCUCUGCCUGGCCCUGGGCUUUGUGCUCUGGAGUGAGGCCCGGCGGCUCAGAGGUAUUCUUGGAGAAAGUGCAGCAGCGUGACCUCGUAGUGCUCGCCUGACUCGGGGCAUCGGAUACUGUGUCUCUCGUUGGGGUAGAU
rnacentral:lncRNA from 1 species